UUGUAUUUCGUAAUUAACAUGAAAUAUUACUUCAACAGCAGAAAUGAAAUUUAUGGAAUGAAAGAACUAUAAGGAUCUUCAAGCACCACGUGUCGUAAGUUUUUAAUAUUGCACGAGAAGAUAUAGCAAAAAGAGAACUUGCUCUAAUAUUAUGCUAUUAAUCACAAUAAAGCAUGAAACGACGGCCAAUGUGCAAAGUUGCAUCUAAAGAAAAGUGAAGAGUAAAAAAACCCCAUUAAAUGGAUAUGGAACAAAAGAAUUCAUACCAAUGAUAUCACAAAAUUGUUUACUGCUACCUGUCGCCCCGUCUUUCCUGAAAUCCCAC
rnacentral:lncRNA from 1 species